UACGUAGGUGGCAAGCGUUAUCCGGAUUUACUGGGUGUAAAGGGCGUGUAGGCGGGAUUGCAAGUCAGAUGUGAAAACCACGGGCUCAACCUGUGGCCUGCAUUUGAAACUGUAGUUCUUGAGUACUGGAGAGGCAGACGGAAUUCCUAGUGUAGCGGUGAAAUGCGUAGAUAUUAGGAGGAACACCAGUGGCGAAGGCGGUCUGCUGGACAGCAACUGACGCUGAGGCGCGAAAGCGUGGGGAGCAAACAGG
rnacentral:rRNA from 2 species